rnacentral:rRNA from 1 species
UUUAAACACCAGUUUUCAUAUGAUCACUGAAGUUAAGCAAUGUUGAGUCAGGUCAGUACCUAGAUGAGUGACUGCUUGGGAAUAUCAGGUGCUGUAAG